CAAUUGGAAGCAAGUGCGUUCGCGUCGCGGAAGUCAAGAAAAGAAAAUAAAAGAGAAGCACUGCAAAUGCAUUGUUAUUUUUAAAGUACAACCGCGAUUAGAAGGGCUCAAGGAACAGGUGUUUACCUACCAAUUAACUGGCCAUAAACCAUAAAUCAGCGAGAGUUAACCAAGAAAGGAGAAAAGCUGUGCCAACACAGGCAAAUUCUCUUGCAUUCGCUGUUGUUUCGCUGUGUGCGUGCGGGUGUGUGUGUGUGUGUGCGAAAGAGCGUGUGCAAAUAUAAGUUUUGCCGCGUUGUCUGAUCCGCAGCGAAUUUGAAGCCCAAAGAAGAAAGACAGAGGAGAGGAGAGGAUCGGGUGAAUGUCGCUAAAACACCAGAAGACAUCCUACCAACCGCUCGGAACGGCGGCCGCCAUGGACAACCCGGCGAUGACCCAGAGCGGCAGCAGUGGGGGCAGUCGGAGCAGCCGGGAGGGACUCUCCGAGACCCACUCGUCACAACAGCUGUUGAGCUCUGACCCCAACAGCAUGGAGAUUCCGAACAUCCCCCUGCCCGCCGCCGUGCCCUCGCGCCUGACCUCCGUGGGCAGGUCACAGUGGUUCACCGUCAUCGUUCUCUGCUUCGUCAACCUCAUCAACUACAUGGACCGCUUCACGAUCGCAGGAGUACUGACAGAUGUUCGAACUGAUUUCGGCAUUGGAAAUGACAGCGCUGGACUUUUGCAGACCGUAUUCGUUAUCUCGUAUAUGGUGUGCGCACCCGUCUUUGGAUAUCUGGGUGAUCGCUACUCCCGCCCCUGGAUAAUGGCGGUGGGCGUGGCCCUGUGGAGCACCACCACCCUGCUGGGAUCGUAUAUGGAGAGUUUUGGAUGGUUCAUCACCUUCCGGGCGCUGGUCGGAAUCGGCGAGGCCUCUUACAGCACAAUAGCGCCGACGAUCAUCUCGGAUCUCUUUGUGCACGACAUGCGGUCCAAGAUGCUGGCAUUGUUCUACUUUGCCAUACCCGUGGGAUCCGGUCUGGGAUACAUUGUGGGAUCCAAGACCGCUCACCUGGCCAACAACUGGCGCUGGGCCCUGAGGGUCACGCCCAUUCUGGGCAUUGUGGCCGUCCUGCUGAUUGUGCUCAUCAAGGAUCCGGAACGGGGUCACAGUGAGGGGUCGCACAAUCUGGAGGCCACCACCUAUAGACAGGACAUCAAGGCUUUGGUCAAGAACCGCUCGUUUAUGCUGUCCACAGCUGGAUUUACAUGUGUGGCCUUUGUGGCCGGAGCUCUGGCCUGGUGGGGACCUUCCUUCAUCUAUCUAGGCAUGAAGAUGCAGCCCGGCAACGAGAACAUUGUCCAGGACGAUGUUGCGUUCAACUUUGGAGUCAUCACAAUGGUGGCAGGCCUGCUGGGCGUGCCCCUGGGCUCGUUCCUAUCGCAGUACCUGGUAAAGCGUUAUCCCACGGCGGAUCCCAUAAUCUGUGCCUUUGGGCUGCUCCUGAGUGCACCGCUGCUGACGGGCGCCUGUCUCCUGGUGAACAGUAAUUCGGCGGGCACCUAUGCGCUCAUCUUUUUCGGGCAGUUAGCUUUAAAUUUGAAUUGGGCAAUUGUUGCGGACAUACUGCUGUAUGUGGUGAUUCCAACACGUCGCUCUACAGCCGAGGCCUUCCAGAUCCUCAUCUCACAUGCAUUGGGCGAUGCCGGCAGUCCGUAUUUGGUGGGAGCGAUCUCCGAGGCCAUCAUGAACCACCUGCACAAGAACCCCAGUGAUUCUGGUUUGACAAACGAAAUGCAGAGCAUGUCCCAAGUGGCGGAGAACCCAAUAAGUAAUGUCACCACGGCACUCAUGGAAGCAACCACCAAUAUGAUUGAAACAGUGCGCUCAGCUUCCUCGCUCUCCGAUGAAUAUACUGACAGGGAGCAGUUUGAGGGAUUGCAGUAUGCUUUAUUCUCCACCAGCUUUGUGGAGGUGCUGGGCGGUAUAUUCUUUAUGAUCACCGCCUGUUUUAUCAUCAAGGACAAGAACAAUGCCACGCGAGGAUUGCAAGGCGAACAGGAACCGCGAGCGGUACGAUCGUCAGCUGCCUCGGCCAGUGGGCAAAAGGACGUUGAGUCCUGCCACUCAGACUGCCUGGUCAUGUGCACUGACAUCGCGCUGCGCGAACGCACGUGAUAACGCGAAUAAGAGAUCUUAAAGUGUGCCCUGGGCACCGAAUGGUUUUUAUUUUUGGCCUAGCUCCCGAUGCCGCGACUCAGCAGCAGCAGCGGGAGCAGCGCGGUCAGAUUGCCUAAUACCAGCCGAUCCUGGAGAUAAUGCUGCGCACUCAGAGCUCCGAUGGCAUGCCGGGUGAACUGAUACUGACUGAAAACCAUCUUUAAUUUAAACUACGCUUACUCGCACCACGCACAUCCCGCAUCGGAUCGUACUGGAAGGUUAGAGGGGACAUUCUGCGCCUGCGCUCAGUUCGGCUGACACAAGACCCCUGUGUUCAUGUUCCUAUUAGGAAGAAAAAAAGGAGGAAGGAAGGAAGUUUAGAUCGGAAGGAAGGGCCACCAUGCCAACGUUUAAGCACACUUCACUGAUUUGUAGAUAUAUAUACAAACACUCACUCUCACAGGCACUCACCAAGUCAUAACAUUACACAGAUCAUUUUACUUGUAAACGGUAUACACGUAGUCUUAGAUAGGUCUAGCUCUGGUAUUUUAGGCUAAAACAAAAUUAGACAGAGUUUCAUGCAGGGUUUCGCAUUCGCAGAAGUGCUUCCUCAGUUCGGAUAAUGUAUAUAGAUAUUAUCUCAGGCAUCGAGUGCGAAAUGCCUGCAGUUUUUGGAUAUUUGGAUAUAAAUGUGUAUGUAUAUUUUAUAUGAAUUGUAAAUAUAGAGAAGCGCCGGGCCAUUGUAUAAGUGCGUAGUCUAUUUAAUCAAUUUAGUCUUAACCUGAAGUUAAUUUUAACCAUAGCAUUAGUUAGUUGUGUAACAAAUUGGAAGAAAUGUGUGCACCCUCAACCAUAACUGAAUAUUACAGCGUAAAUAUUUUAAGCCAAAAAGGCAUUAAGUCGAGUUUGUUUUUUGUUGAUUGAUCCUAAUCGACUGCUAGCCUAACCGGAACGCAAAUAAAAAGCGACAUAAAGACUGCAAACAAUCAAAAAAUUGGUAGAUCGAUAUUUGUCUAAAAAUUAACUAAACUAAUUGUUUAGCCACUAAGUAUUUUCUGGGCAAUAAAUAUACAUUUCUGAAAAAUUAAA